CAACAAUGGAAAGGAGGUGGUCUGAUGUCUCAUUGUCACGUGCCGGUUACGGCAAAAACGAAGAGCCUGACCUCCGCCGCGGGGGUCCGCCUCUUCUGAGCGCGUCCAAUCGGCUGACAAUGGAAAGGCCGUCCGGAAUUUUAUCCGGGCGGCCUU
rnacentral:sRNA from 1 species